rnacentral:rRNA from 1 species
GAUGAACGCUGGCGGCGUGCCUAAUACAUGCAAGUCGAGCGAACAGACGAGGAGCUUGCUCCUCUGACGUUAGCGGCGGACGGGUGAGUAACACGUGGAUAACCUACCUAUAAGACUGGGAUAACUUCGGGAAACCGGAGCUAAUACCGGAUAAUAUAUUGAACCGUAUGGUUCAAUAGUGAAAGACGGUUUUGCUGUCACUUAUAGAUGGAUCCGCGCCGCAUUAGCUAGUUGGUAAGGUAACGGCUUACCAAGGCAACGAUGCGUAGCCGACCUGAGAGGGUGAUCGGCCACACUAGAGCUGAGACACGGUCCAGACUCCUGCGGGAGGCAGCAGUAGGGAAUCUUCCGCAAUGGGCGAAAGCUUGACGGAGCAACGCCGCGUGAGUGAUGAAGGUCUUCGGAUCGUAAAACUCUGUUAUUAGGGAAGAACAAAUGUGUAAGUAACUAUGCACGUCUUGACGGUACCUAAUCAGAAAGCCACGGCUAACUACGUG